UAGGGAGCAAGCGUUGUCCGGAUUUACUGGGUGUAAAGGGUGCGUAGGCGGUUUUUCAAGUCAGAAGUGAAAUCCAUGGGCUUAACCCGUGAACUGCUUUUGAAACUGGAAGACUUGAGUGAAGUAGAGGUAGGCGGAAUUCCCGGUGUAGCGGUGAAAUGCGUAGAGAUCGGGAAGAACACCAGUGGCGAAGGCGGCCUACUGGGCUUUAACUGACGCUGAGGCACGAAAGCGUGGGUAGCAA
rnacentral:rRNA from 1 species